UACACGACUGUUGCUUUGGCAAUUAUAAGCUGAAAAUAUGAAGCAUGAGUAUAUGUGAAGAGUUGAAGCUUAAAUCCUGAUCUGGCUAUUUUCCAGAGUUGUGUACUUAAUGUUUCGUUCACUAAUUUUGUGUAAUUCUCUGCUGGUUUUUCUAUUAUUAAAUUGGCUUUGGAUUGUAUAAGUAGAUUCACACAUUUGGCAUCCAAUAUUCGAAUUCUAUAGUAAAACUAGGCUAUGCUGGAC
rnacentral:lncRNA from 1 species